GAUCCUGGCUCAGGAUGAACGCUAGCUACAGGCUUAACACAUGCAAGUCGAACGAAGACAUCUGAGUGCUUGCACUUGGAUGGACUGAGUGGCGGACGGGUGAGUAACGCGUGGGUAACCUGCCUUAUACAGGGGGAUAACAGUUGGAAACGACUGCUAAUACCGCAUAAGCGCACGGUAUCGCAUGAUACAGUGUGAAAAACUCCGGUGGUAUAAGAUGGACCCGCGU
rnacentral:rRNA from 1 species